UGCUGAGUUGCUGAGGUCUGUUACGCGAAAUGUGCAAACUCUGCGGAUCCCUAAGUGUGCCGGUGUCGGUUGGCAUCGGUCGCUGUGAUGUUCAGGCUGAAGAAAGCUUAUGAAGCUCCUGAACGAUGGACCAGGAGGAAGAGAACAUGCCAGUCGGGCAUGUGUCUCUGCCAGGGUCCUACUCGAGUGUAGGCUGAACUCCUCCCCCAAGCUGUCAAAAGGAAGAGGGAAGGGAGGAAGGCUGCUGGCAAAGCGGUUCAAAUGCCUGAAAAGAGAGACUGAAGAAGCUUGGUGAUAAUGAAAACGGAAUGAAAAGAGAAACUUGCAAAGGGGCAGCGACUGCCCCAACUUGAAAGACGCCUGAUUCAAGAGUAAGUGGAAUGUACAAAAUGGGAGGAUUUGUGUUUACAGCAUUGCUUGAUCGGUGCCUUAAGGACAGAAAUGACACCAUCCUUCUACCUGGCGCUGACACAGAUUGCUGGAAGGAAAGCGUUCUUAUAAACAAAGUGCUGGAGGCCAUCUUGUCUUCCUCUUCCUGCUCCAGAGCUGGCAACCCAAGUACAUCUUCAUGUAGCUUAAUGGCUUCCUAGAACAACUAGGAGUUCAAAAGAAGCUAAAACAGCUGCACUUAUGAGCGACUACAAGGAGCAAUAGGGAAGCCUGUUUAGUAUGCACAUCAUUCCUGAAUCUAUAAGAAUCUAUGAAUAGCCUGGGCCUUUUCCCCCUUUACACUAGUGUAUAGCAGACUUAAGCAGCAAACGCGAGAAGAUUCAACAUCAGUGAAGAGAGAUCUGUAGCUGUCAGGGAAGAACCUGACAGGUAUUUAGAACAAGUUGGCUAAGGGGAUGAGGGCAGCAGGGGCUGGGGGGGUUGGACACACGUGGCUGAUUAAAAAAUAUAUGUAUAUAAAUACGGCUUCAAUUGUACGCAAACCACAAUUUGCUCUGAAUGUAAGGCUCAGUGUUGUUUGUUUUUGUUUGUUUAUUCAUGCAAGUAUUUUUGUGCUGCCAUACCAUGAAAUUUCAGGGUGCCCUACAAUGCCGACGCCAUCAUUAAAGAGAUGGUGAUCUAUCCAUUGACCACAGUAUAAAAUGAUUCUGUGCCAAAACUGGAAAAAUCUUAACUCUCUUGUCUGUUUAUAGACAGUUGGUUAAAGGAAAUUUGGUCCAACUAACUGAUUUGAUCAGAAACAGAGAGGGAAGACAAUGCGAAUUUGUGGAGAAGUUGAGCAUGUUCAUUUGAUGCUAGAAUAGCAAAGUUCAGGGCUCAAUAAACCCUCAGCUGCUCAUUAGGAGACAUUUGAGCAUAUGGAACAGAAUGGGGGACAGCAUCAAUUGGUUUAUUGCUAUAUGUUACUUAUUAAUUUGCCU